UUAUAAAUUUGUUCUUAAAGUGUAUUUUUGAUAAGAAAGCCGUUUUGUUUUUCCUUCUGUUAAUUUUUUGUUUUUUUCUUGGUCGAGACAGAGUCUUGCCAUGCUGCCCAGGCUGGAGUGCAGUGGUGUGAUCUCGGCUCACUGCAGCCUCCACCUCCUGGGCUCCAGCAGUCCUCCCACCUCAGCCUCCCUAAGAGCUGAGACUACAGGUGUGAGCCACCAUGCCUGGCUAAUUUUUAGAGACAGGGUUUCACCCUCUUGCCCAGGCUGGUCCCAAACUCCUGGGCUCAAGCAGUCCUCCUGCCUCAGCCUCCCAGAGUAUUGGGAUUAUAGGUGUGAGCCACUGCCAGAAAAACGUUUCCUAAGACAAGGCAGGUCUUACAUUAUAUUUAAAUUUUUUUUAAUGAUGUCUUUUUUGGCAGUGCACAGCCAGAGGACAACACAUCACACACAAGAAACAGUUGUGCUCAUGUGAUGGGGGCCUCAGCACUAGGAAGGAGUGGACUGUUGGCGCACGCAGCAGCUUGAAUAAAUCUGAAAGUCACUACGCUGCGUAAGAGAAGCCAAAUAAAGCGCAUGCUGUGUACAGAGGGUGUCGAGAAUGCCUCCUACGUGACGGAAAGCAGAUCCGUGGUUCCCUGCAGACUGGCAGGAGCAGAUUCCAAAGGCACAGGAAGAAGCUUGCAGGUUGCCUGUUCACUCUGCCUGGUCAUAUGCAGAAAACCGAAACUAGACCCCUUGCUGACACUUAUACAAAAAUUAACUCAAGAUGCAUUAAAGAUUUAAACGUGAGACCUAAAACCAGA
ensembl:lncRNA MUC20-OT1 MUC20 overlapping transcript